AGUCGAGCGGAAGAAGGGAGCUUGCUCCCGGAUGUUAGCGGCGGACGGGUGAGUAACACGUGGGUAACCUGCCUGUAAGACUGGGAUAACUCCGGGAAACCGGAGCUAAUACCGGAUAGUUCCUUGAACCGCAUGGUUCAAGGAUGAAAGACGGUUUCGGCUGUCACUUACAGAUGGACCCGCGGCGCAUUAGCUAGUUGGUGGGGUAAUGGCUCACCAAGGCGACGAUGCGUAGCCGACCUGAGAGGGUGAUCGGCCACACUGGGACUGAGACACGGCCCAGACUCCUACGGGAGGCAGCAGUAGGGAAUCUUCCGCAAUGGACGAAAGUCUGACGGAGCAACGCCGCGUGAGUGAUGAAGGUUUUCGGAUCGUAAAGCUCUGUUGUUAGGGAAGAACAAGUGCGAGAGUAACUGCUCGCACCUUGAAGGUACCUAACCAGAAAGCCACGGCUAACUACGUGCCAGCAGCCGCGGUAAUACGUAGGUGGCAAGCGUUGUCCGGAAUUAUUGGGCGUAAAGGGCUCGCAGGCGGUUUCUUAAGUCUGAUGUGAAAGCCCCCGGCUCAACCGGGGAGGGUCAUUGGAAACUGGGAAACUUGAGUGCAGAAGAGGAGAGUGGAAUUCCACGUGUAGCGGUGAAAUGCGUAGAGAUGUGGAGGAACACCAGUGGCGAAGGCGACUCUCUGGUCUGUAACUGACGCUGAGGAGCGAAAGCGUGGGGAGCGAACAGGAUUAGAUACCCUGGUAGUCCACGCCGUAAACGAUGAGUGCUAAGUGUUAGGGGGUUUCCGCCCCUUAGUGCUGCAGCUAACGCAUUAAGCACUCCGCCUGGGGAGUACGGUCGCAAGACUGAAACUCAAAGGAAUUGACGGGGGCCCGCACAAGCGGUGGAGCAUGUGGUUUAAUUCGAAGCAACGCGAAGAACCUUACCAGGUCUUGACAUCCUCUGACAACCCUAGAGAUAGGGCUUUCCCUUCGGGGACAGAGUGACAGGUGGUGCAUGGUUGUCGUCAGCUCGUGUCGUGAGAUGUUGGGUUAAGUCCCGCAACGAGCGCAACCCUUGAUCUUAGUUGCCAGCAUUCAGUUGGGCACUCUAAGGUGACUGCCGGUGACAAACCGGAGGAA
rnacentral:rRNA from 1 species